UCAUCAGUAUAGGUGUAAUCCUUACCUGUAGAUAACUUUAUAGUUAUCUAUAGUAAGGAGAAUGAUGAUCAUGGGGCUGAAUGACUUGUAUGAGUUAGAAGCUUCGGACCUUGGUGCUGCAACACACCUUGUGUUCCCAUGACUGAC
rnacentral:snoRNA from 1 species